rnacentral:rRNA from 1 species
CCUGGUUGAUCCUGCCAGUAGUCAUAUGCUUGUCUCAAAGAUUAAGCCAUGCAUGUCUCAGUACAUGCCGAAUUAAGGUGAAACCGCGAAUGGCUCAUUAAAUCAGUUAUGGUUCAUUAGAUCGUGGACACAUUUACUUGGAUAACUGUGGUAAUUCUAGAGCUAAUACAUGCAAACAGAAUUCCUCUCAGAGAUGGGAGGAAUGCUUUUAUUAGAUCAAAACCAAUCGGUGGCGGACGGCUCGUCCGUUCGUCCAUCGUUUGUUUUGGUGACUCUGAAUAACUUUGUGCUGAUCGCAUGGUCAUCUAGCACCGGCGACGCAUCUUCAAAUGUCUGCCUUAUCAACUGUCGAUGGUAGGUUCUGCGCCUACCAUGGUUGUAACGGGUAACGGGGAAUCAGGGUUCGAUUCCGGAGAGGGGCCUGAGAACAGCUAACACAUCCAAGGAAGGCAGCAGGCGCGCAAAUUACCCCACUCCCGGCACGGGGAGGUAGUGACGAAAUAACGAUACGGGACUCAUCCGAGGCCCGUAAUCGGAAUGAGUACACUUUAAAUCCUUUAACGAGGACCAAUUGGAGGGCAAGUCUGGUGCCAGCAGCCGCGGUAAUUCCAGCUCCAAUAGCGUAUAUUAAGUGUUGCGGUUAAAAAGCUCGUAGUUGAAUCUGUGUGUCACAGUGUCGGUUCACCGCUCGCGGUGUUUAACUGGCAUUAUGUGGUACGUCCUAUCGGUGGGCUUAGUCCUUGCGGGCGGUCCAACUAAUAUCCCAUCGCGGUGCUCUUACUGAGUGUCGAGUGGCCGAUACGUUUACUUUGAAAAAUUGAGUCUUAAAGCAGGCUACCUUUGCCUGAAUACUGUGUGCAUGGAUAAUGGAUAGGACCUCGGUUUAUUUGUUGGUUUUCGGAACCCCGAGGUAAUGAUUAAUAGGGACAGAUGGGGCAUCGAUUGCGACGUUAGAGGUGAAUUCUGGAUCGUCGCAAGACGGACAGAAGCGAAAGCAUUUGCCAAAAAUGUUUUCAUUAAUCAAGACGAAAGUUAGAGGUUCGAAGGCGAUCAGAUACCGCCCUAGUUCUAACCAUAAACGAUGCAGCCAGCGAUCCGCCGAAGUUCCUCCGAUGACUCGGCGGGCAGCUUCCGGGAAACAAAGUUUUGGGUUCCGGGGGAGUAUGGUUGCAAAGCUGAAACUUAAGGAAUUGACGGAAGGGCACCACAGGAGUGGAGCCUGCGGCUUAAUUUGACUCAACACGGGAAACCUCACCAGGCCGGACACCGGAAGGAUUGACAGAUUGAUAGCUCUUUCUUGAUUCGGUGGGUGGUGGUGCAUGGCCGUUCUUAGUUGGUGGGAGCGAUUUGUCUGGUUAAUUCCGAUAACGAACGAGACUCUAGCCUGCUAAAUAGACGUAACUUAUGGUAUCUCGAAGGCCCUCGGCUUCGGUCGGUGGGUUUUUACUACCACGUACAAACAAAUCUUCUUAGAGAACAGGCGGCUUCUAGCCGCACGAGAUUGAGCAAUAACAGGUCUGUGAUGCCUUAGAUGUUCUGGGCCGCACGCGCGCUACACUGAAGGAAUCAGCGUGUUUUCCCUGGCCGAAAGGCCCGGGUAACCCGCUGAACCUCCUUCGUGCUAGGGAUUGGGGCUUGCAAUUAUUCCCCAUGAACGAGGAAUUCCCAGUAAGCGCGAGUCAUAAGCUCGCGUUGAUUACGUCCCUGCCCUUUGUACACACCGCCGUCGCUACUACCGAUUGAAUGAUUUAGUGAGGUCUUCGGACUGGUGCGCGGCCAAUGUCUCGGCAUUGCCGAUGUUACCGGGAAGAUGACCAAACUUGAUCAUUUAGAGGAAGUAAAAGUCGUAACAAGGUUUCCGUAGGUGAACCUGCGGAAG